rnacentral:lncRNA from 1 species
CAAAGACCAAGGAAACAACUGGCGCUUGGGUGGAGUCGAGUGAUGAGAAUCAGUGAUACACCAGAACUUGAGACAUGACUUUCAAACUUCUGACUUCUACUGCUUCUUGGCUGUAACCCUGGACACAUUUCCUAACUUCCUAUGUAUUAAUUGCUUUAUUUGAAAACAGAGAUUGUAGUCCUUGCCUUUCAGAGCAUGAGUUCUUAUCCUUGGAAAUGUUACUGUUAAAGUUCAACUCCACAGAGGGUUGACACCAUCAAUUGUGUAUGAAAGCUAUAUAAUGAAUGAACACCAGCUGCC